ACCAAAUCAAUUUUUCAGUUUUUAGAUAUAAUGUUUGACUCUUUGUCUUAUUUAAAAAAAUUUACGAUUAAUAUUUUUGUUUUUAUUAUAUGAUAAAACAUGAACAGUACUUUAUAUGUAACUAAUUUUUUAAAAAUUUUCUAAAAAAAUUUCAAAUAAGACGGACGGUCAAGCAUUCGACACAGACACCGAAAGGUUGUCUUUUU
rnacentral:pre_miRNA from 1 species